rnacentral:rRNA from 2 species
CUUGCAUCAUGAUUUACAUUUGAGUGAGUGGCGAACUGGUGAGUAACACGUGGGAAACCUGCCCAGAAGCGGGGGAUAACACCUGGAAACAGAUGCUAAUACCGCAUAACAACUUGGACCGCAUGGUCCGAGUUUGAAAGAUGGCUUCGGCUAUCACUUUUGGAUGGUCCCGCGGCGUAUUAGCUAGAUGGUGGGGUAACGGCUCACCAUGGCAAUGAUACGUAGCCGACCUGAGAGGGUAAUCGGCCACAUUGGGACUGAGACACGGCCCAAACUCCUACGGGAGGCAGCAGUAGGGAAUCUUCCACAAUGGACGAAAGUCUGAUGGAGCAACGCCGCGUGAGUGAAGAAGGGUUUCGGCUCGUAAAACUCUGUUGUUAAAGAAGAACAUAUUUGAGAGUAACUGUUCAGGUAUUGACGGUAUUUAACCAGAAAGCCACGGCUAACUACGUGCCAGCAGCCGCGGUAAUACGUAGGUGGCAAGCGUUGUCCGGAUUUAUUGGGCGUAAAGCGAGCGCAGGCGGUUUUUUAAGUUUGAUGUGAAAGCCUUCGGCUCAACCGAAGAAGUGCAUCGGAAACUGGGAAACUUGAGUGCAGAAGAGGACAGUGGAACUCCAUGUGUAGCGGUGAAAUGCGUAGAUAUAUGGAAGAACACCAGUGGCGAAGGCGGCUGUCUGGUCUGUAACUGACGCUGAGGCUCGAAAGUAUGGGUAGCAAACAGGAUUAGAUACCCUGGUAGUCCAUACCGUAAACGAUGAAUGCUAAGUGUUGGAGGGUUUCCGCCCUUCAGUGCUGCAGCUAACGCAUUAAGCAUUCCGCCUGGGGAGUACGGCCGCAAGGCUGAAACUCAAAGGAAUUGACGGGGGCCCGCACAAGCGGUGGAGCAUGUGGUUUAAUUCGAAGCUACGCGAAGAACCUUACCAGGUCUUGACAUACUAUGCAAAUCUAAGAGAUUAGACGUUCCCUUCGGGGACAUGGAUACAGGUGGUGCAUGGUUGUCGUCAGCUCGUGUCGUGAGAUGUUGGGUUAAGUCCCGCAACGAGCGCAACCCUUAUUAUCAGUUGCCAGCAUUAAGUUGGGCACUCUGGUGAGACUGCCGGUGACAAACCGGAGGAAGGUGGGGAUGACGUCAAAUCAUCAUGCCCCUUAUGACCUGGGCUACACACGUGCUACAAUGGAUGGUACAACGAGUUGCGAACUCGCGAGAGUAAGCUAAUCUCUUAAAGCCAUUCUCAGUUCGGAUUGUAGGCUGCAACUCGCCUA